rnacentral:rRNA from 1 species
GCCAGAUCCAAUUUUCUGCCACCGAAUACAUUAGCAUGGGAUAAUGGAAUAGGACCCUGUCCUCCUAUUUUCAGUUGGUUUUGGCAGCGCGAGGACUAGGGUAAUGAUUAAUAGGGAUAGUUGGGGGCAUUAAUAUUUAAUUGUCAGAGGUGAAAUUCUUGGAUUUAUGAAAGAUUAACUUCUGCGAAAGCAUCUGCCAAGGAUGUUUUCAUUAAUCAAGAACGAAAGUUAGGGGAUCGAAGACGAUCAGAUACCGUCGUAGUCUUAACCAUAAACGAUGCCGACCAGCGAUUAGGAGACGUUGAAUACAAAACACCACCAUCGGUUGCGGUCGUCCUUGGCGUCUCGGUUUCGGCCGGGGCGCGGGGACGGUUUAGCCCGGUGGCACCGGUGAAUGACUCCCCUAGCAGCUUGUGAGAA